rnacentral:rRNA from 1 species
GACGAACGCUAGCGGCAGGCUUAAUACAUGCAAGUCGAGGGGCAGCAGGUCCCGCAGCAAUGCGGGAUGCUGGCGACCGGCAAACGGGUGCGGAACACGUACAGAACCUUCCUUUAAGUGGGGAAUAGCCCGGGGAAACCCGGAUUAAUACCCCGUAACAUAAUGAAGUGGCAUCACUUUAUUAUUAUAGCAGCAAUGCGCUUGAAGAUGGCUGUGCGGCUGAUUAGGUAGUUGGCGGGGUAACGGCCCACCAAGCCUACGAUCAGUAACUGGUGUGAGAGAACGACCAGUCACACGGGCACUGAGACACGGGCCCGACUCCUACGGGAGGCAGCAGUAAGGAAUAUUGGGCAAUGGACGCAAGUCUGACCCAGCCAUGCCGCGUGUAGGAUGAAGGUCCUCUGGAUUGUAAACUUCUUUUAUCUGGGAAGAAAUCUAUUUUUUCUAAAGUAGUUGACGGUACCAGAUGAAUAAGCACCGGCUAACUCCGUGCCAGCCGCCGCGGUAA